GUCGUUAGAAUUAAUUUGUAGCUAUUAAAGAAGAGAACGAGCGCAACCCUCGUGUUUAGUUGCCAUCGUUGAGUUUGGAACCUUGAACAGACUGCCGGCGAUAAGCCUGAGGAAGGUGAGGAUGACGUCA
rnacentral:ncRNA from 1 species